rnacentral:rRNA from 3 species
AAGACCUCAAAUCAGG